AUCGUUUUGCAAAGGCAAAAGAUGUAGAUUGCACCUAAACUAUACUCGUCGAGUUCAAACUCAAAUCAAUCAGGCGACCAAUUAUUCCCCUACACAUUUAAAAAAUGAAUAUAAUAGCACCAAUUAUUCCCCUACACAUUUAAAAAAUGAAUAUAAUAGCAUCCUGAGGGCUGAUGUGGCACAAAAAAUAAAAUAAUUAAAAAUUAGGCGCGUUUUGUUUAAAUUUAAUUAUUUUUUCCUUUUCUUUUUAUCGCAAAAUACAGUUUUUCGCACCCCCUUCUUCAUCUUCACAUUGUCCUUCCAUUCUUCUACCGGCGAGUGUUUGCCAGAAAGUUAGAUCGAUUUCAAGUGAAGUUUUCUUGUCUCCAUCGAUUUUCUGAAAAAUCUCUUUCCUGAACCAAAAAUAGAAGAAGAAAUAAGACAGAAGACUUGAUCGAAAUUUUUUCCGGCUGAGUGAUUUUAUUGCAGUAGAUGUGUGGAGGUGGGGAAGAAGAGGUGAUGCUGGUGAUUUUUUUUUUUCUUGUGAUCUUGGUGGGUAUGGACAUUGAUGAAAGAGGAAGAGAAGAAAAAUAUGGAGAAAAUAAAAAAAGAAUAGCAUCCAUGUGUAAAAGAAUAUAAAAAUAAAAAUAAAAAAUCUGAUGUGGUGCUGAAGUAGCGAGUGUAAUGCACCACAUACUGUGAGAGUGGUGUUUCAGCGCUCAGGGUGGUAUAAAAUUAUCUUUUUAAAUGUGCAGAGAAGUAAUAAGUCGUCCGAUUAGUUUGAGUGUAAACUCGACAUUUCAGCUAUAGUUCAAGGUGCAAUCUAUGUCUUUUGCCUUUUGCAAACCUAGCCAAUGUGUGAAUAUAUAUUUUUUUAUGCAUUA